UUAGAGGAAGUAAAAGUCGUAACAAGGUUUCCGUAGGUGAACCUGCGGAAGGAUCAUUAUCGAAAUCUGCUGGGGAAGCAUCGAGGAGAGCGAAGGAACGGUGGACGUCUGGAUUCGAGGUUGUCGCUGGCCUUCGGGCAUGUGCACGCCUUCGUCUUUAGUCUCUGACUUGAUCUCUCUUUGGUGUGGACUCGAGUUUUCAUAUACACCCGUGCACCUCUUGUAGGUUUCCCUCGCGAGGGGGAAGACCUAUGUCUUUCAUAAACUCGUAUGUCUAUAGAAGGUCUAUGUUUAACGUCGUUCGCGGCGAUGAAUGUAAUCAUGAACAACUUUCAGCAACGGAUCUCUUGGCUCUCGCAUCGAUGAAGAACGCAGCGAAUUGCGAUAAGUAAUGUGAAUUGCAGAUUUUCAGUGAAUCAUCGAAUCUUUGAACGCACCUUGCGCUCCUUGGUAUUCCAUGGAGCAUGCCUGUUUGAGUGUCAUUGAAUUCUCAACCAUGUCUUGAUCGACUUGGCUUGGAUCUGGGGGUUGCUGGCUGCGCAAGCGAGUCGGCUCUCCUGAAAUGCAUUAGCAGAGGCGUAGUCCUUCGUGCACGGCCUUCGACGUGAUAACGAUCGUCGUGGCUGGAGCGAUGGGACGUCUUGGUCGCUGCUUCCAACUCUGAUCUGAUCCGUAGUGGAUCGCGUCUUUGAAACUUGACCUCAAAUCAAGGCAGGACUACCCGCUGAACUUAAGCAUAUCAAUA
rnacentral:rRNA from 1 species